GCCGGCGACCGGCGCACGGGUGAGUAACACGUAUGAAACCUGCCCGUAGCAGGGGGAUAAGCGGAAGAAAUUCCGUCUAAUACCGCGUAACAACCCAUGGAGGCAUCUCCGUGGGUUUAAAGGAAGCGAUUCCGGCUACGGAUGGUCAUGCGUCGCAUUAGCUAGUUGGCGGGGUAACGGCCCACCAAGGCGACGAUGCGUAGGGGUUCUGAGAGGAAGGUCCCCCACACUGGUACUGAGACACGGACCAGACUCCUACGGGAGGCAGCAGUGAGGAAUAUUGGUCAUGGCCGCAGGGCUGAACCAGCCAAGUCGCGUGAGGGAUGACGGUCCUAUGGAUUGUAAACCUCUUUUGUCAGGGAGCAAAGGGCGCCACGUGUGGCGCUUUGCGAGUACCUGAAGAAAAAGCAUCGGCUAACUCCGUGCCAGCAGCCGCGGUAAUACGGAGGAUGCGAGCGUUAUCCGGAUUUAUUGGGUUUAAAGGGUGCGCAGGCGGAAUGUCAAGUCAGCGGUAAAAUUUCGGGGCUCAACCCCGUCGUGCCGUUGAAACUGGCGUUCUUGAGUGAGCGAGAAGUAUGCGGAAUGCGUGGUGUAGCGGUGAAAUGCAUAGAUAUCACGCAGAACUCCGAUUGCGAAGGCAGCAUACCGGCGCUCAACUGACGCUCA
rnacentral:rRNA from 1 species